GAUAGUGUGGUUGGGUGGUCUAUGUCGCUGGUUUUAGGCACCAGUCUCUUCGGAGGCAAGGGUUCAAAUCCCUUCACUGUGA
rfam:Daphnia pulex DAPPTscaffold_354_Cont8972, whole genome shotgun sequence.